rnacentral:sRNA from 1 species
GGCUGCGCUGACACUGAGGGGUGUCCGGGAGCUGCUGAAGCGUGUGGACUUCGCGACGGUCCCGCGGAGACAUCGAUAUAAGAAGAAAUGGCCCGAUCGCCCUCACCCCUCGGAAAAUACCAUAGCGACCUUGCCUGCACUCCUGGGUCUCCGCCGCCUUGCAGGAAAGGAUUCAGCCCCUUCCUCAACCUCGAGCUGCCUCUGGCGACCGGGAAAGGUUACAGCGACCACCCUGUCCAUACUGCCGGCCCAAACCCUGGCAAAAGGUGCAACGAAUCCUCUCAUCCUCUGGACUCUCCCUGCUUCUCCAGAGACCCUUUUUCUUGCCUCACUGGAAGCCCUGGAAUUUCUUCUAUGACCGGCA